GACGAACGCUGGCGGCGUGCUUAACACAUGCAAGUCGAACGGAAAGGCCCUGCUUUUGUGGGGUGCUCGAGUGGCGAACGGGUGAGUAACACGUGAGUAACCUGCCCUUGACUUUGGGAUAACUUCAGGAAACUGGGGCUAAUACCGGAUAGGAGCUCCUGCUGCAUGGUGGGGGUUGGAAAGUUUCGGCGGUUGGGGAUGGACUCGCGGCUUAUCAGCUUGUUGGUGGGGUAGUGGCUUACCAAGGCUUUGACGGGUAGCCGGCCUGGGAGGGUGACCGGCCACAUUGGGACUGAGAUACGGCCCAGACUCCUACGGGAGGCAGCAGUGGGGAAUAGUGCACAAUGGGCGGAAGCCUGAUGCAGCAACGCCGCGUGCGGGAUGACGGCCUUCGGGUUGUAAACCGCUUUCGCCUGUGACGAAGCGAGAGUGACGGUAAUGGGUAAAGAAGCACCGGCUAACUACGUG
rnacentral:rRNA from 1 species